rnacentral:lncRNA from 1 species
CCCCCCCCCCCCCCCCCCCCCCCCCCCCCCCCCCCCCCCCCCCCCCCCCCCCCCCCCCCCCCCCCCCCCCCCCCCCCCCCCCCCCCCGGAGCCCCGGCAACCCGGGCACCGGGACGAUGCGGAGAGCAAGAUACCACCGUUGGCUGCCUCACCUGGAUCCAGCCUCGGGCACACGGGACAAGCAGAGGACACGAGUGGCCACGCAGCACUUUCCAGCCACGCAGAGGAGGAAGAGGUGGAUUCAGAAAACGAGAAGCUGGUGGUGAGAGAGCCAGAGGAUGAGGAUGGUGAGUGCCAAGCAAGCCAGAACUCUGCAGAGAGAUUAUGGACAGGUCUGGAGUGCUGAGUGCUUGGGGAUGGUCUCCUUCCUCCAGGAAAUUGCUACCCCUUCCCCAGAUGCCCUUGGGCUGUUUGCCAUGGGGUAGCUUUGUGAUGCAGCUGCUCCAUCCAGGACAAUCUCCAGGGGCUUUAGUCGGAGCCACGUUUAACUGAUUAGCCAAUUAGUUGAUUGGAAAAUGAUUAAUUGACUAAUUGGGGUGACAACUGCUGCACUCCUAAGAAAAUGAAACAGAUGGUGCUGAAAUGAGUGUCUGAAGGGGACUCUGCUCUCCUGAGCAGCCCUGGAGAUGCUGAGAUGUCCCCAGGAGUCCUGGCUUGGGGUGUCUGGGGACAGCUGGGGCAGCAGGAGCCCUUGGGGUGUUCUCCCUUCCCUGCCCCACUUUCUGCCUGGCUGUUUGAAGGUGCUGUGUGGCAA